GGCUUCGCUGUGUCUACUUUUGUUCAGUCUUUAAAGUCAACUGUUUAACAAUACGUGUAUGUGUGUGUGUGUGUGUGUGUAGCUGUGUGUGUGUGUGUGUGUGU